AGAUUCAGGCUGUAUUUAGUGGGGGAGGGAUCUGGCCUCAUAUCCUUCAUCUUUAUGCUGCUCCACUCCAGCUCACAGCCCCUCCAACUGGAUGGAGCUCUUCGAAGGGAGGGGCAUUUCAGAGGAGGGUCUCAGGGAUAGCCCCUUUGUGGGGCUGGGCCACCAGGUUGGGGAGAGUGGAGCUGCUGGAACUCUGGAGGGACUGGCUGAGCCAGCUUUCCCAGUGCACCCCUCUGGGAGGGCAGGCUCUCGGUGUAGGCUGCCCAUCUCCUCGCUCUCCUCUGGCACUGCUCCUAUGCCCCCUUGGUUAGCCUGGGAGCCCAUACUACCCAGACUUGGGGUCAAUAAGCAGAGGACCUGUAAGGAGUCCUUGAUGGGAUGUACAGCACUGCCCAACCCUGCACAAGAUAACCCAUGGGCUCCUGAGAGCAGAGAUUGUGACUUACUCAUCUUUGAUGUAGCCAAGUUCUAACAAACCUAAAUGUGCAGCCAUUUGUAAGAGAGGAUCAUGGAAUGAAUACGGGCAUUGAGUCAAGCAGUCUGUGUUCCACUGGCGGUGUGACCUGGGGCAGGCCAUUUCACCUCACUGAGCCUUAGUUUCCUCACCUGUAAAAUGUGAAAAAUAUCACCUUCCUUACCAGGCUUUUCUGAGGAUUUAAUGACAUCAUGUUCAGUGCCCAGUAUGGGUGGAUAAUACCCAGGAGUUUCCUCCUCUUCUCCUCCUAAGUUGACUUGAUGCCCCCCGCUGAAGAUCAUGGCUGAACUGGCUCAAUUCGGAUCCAGGACUCCUGGCUUUGUCUCUUCCCUAGUUGCCCACCACACCCAUGGACACCCUUAGGUAGUUUAUCCUUUUGGGACAACUGGAUUUAUUAGAAAAGGGUAUUCUGGGGUGGAAUAAGGCCCUUUUCAGUCCCCAUGGAGCCUUUUUGGAAGAUGAAGUUCUCAAACCCACAAGAGAAUUCAUAAGACGAGCACACCACCCACAGUUAGGUUUCCCUCUCAAGUGCUUUAUCUCCACGUGGGGCAAAUAGCUCUUUGUCUGCAUAUGUUAUUGGAGCUUUUGGAGUCCAGCCUUCAGAAGAGCUCUAAUUUUUGGAUUCAUAUCAGUUUAUUAGAGAAGCCUAGUUCUAAGGAUUAGCAAAUGGGUAGGUGCUCAGCCAGCCCAGAACAAGCAGAGCCAUGACAGAAGUUUCUGGAAUCUCACAGAGUCGGUGUCUUCAUGGACUCAGGGGGCCUAAAUCCAAUAGCCUGGAUUUGUCACUUUCCCUUAUUCCCUUAUCAAACUCUUCCCUUUUGGACAUCAGAGAAGGAAAGUACUUCCUGUAAGGGGGCAAUUUGCAAAGCUUCAUGGAAGUGGCAUUUGAGUGUGGCCUUAAAGGAUGUGUAGGAUUGGGAACCAUAGAUAUUUAGAGGAAGGCAUUCCUGGCAGAAGGAACAGCAGCAAAACACAGAAGUGGAAAUUAGUAGCAGCAUUAAUGGAGAAUAAUUUGGGGAAUAAGAUAUACAAAUGGAAUAAUAAAAAUAGCAUUAAUUAAACAUUGUGGGAGUCAUUCUGUAAGAUGGCCCCUGGUGAUCUCCGCCUCCUGUUCUUCAUGCCUUAUGUAACCGCUCUCCUUGAGUGUGGUCUGGAAUUACUGACUCACUUUCAAUGCACAGAAUGUAUCAGAAGUAAUGGGAUAUUCCUUCUGAGAAUAGAUUAUAAAAAAAGAGUGUGGCUUCCUUCCUGGCAUUUUCGCUUGCUCUCUCUUUAAUUGUGUGCUCCAAACAAAGCCAGCUGCCAUGUUGUGAGGAAGCCCUGUGUGGAGGACCACAUGGUGAGGA
rnacentral:lncRNA from 1 species